AUGUUUCCACUUCAGUGGAACUCUACACGUGCUGUCUUCGGGUCACAGCUUUUAACUUCCUCCUGUGUACCAAACCUGCAACAGUGCUGAGGAAAGACCGAUUCAUAAAGAGAAUGAAGUAUGCAGCUGAGCAGAAACAGUAUUGACCGCCUCAACAUGGAGUACCUGUAUUAUCUUCUCAGAUUCUGAUGCCUUUCUUCAUGACUGCAAGCUCUCCAACAGUUGUCUGAUGAGGAAUCCAAGAGAUAUUUUUUAUCUCAGUCAAAACUCAUCAGUACCAUCAUCUCUGACUCCUCAAGAAUUCCUCCUUCUUCACUUAGAAGCCCCGAUGCAAGGAAGAUACGAGAGUUCUUUGGAACUGUCUUAAGUCACCAACCAAAACUGG